CUGCUUUGAAGCGUGGUCGACUGGAGUGAUUUUUGUCGGCAGUACGGCGGCAGAAACUAAAACUCUACCGCGUUUCCUGCGGCAUCUCAACCGUAUUUGGAGUGCUGCGAGGUGUCAUUCCACCUUCCAAUGCCAGCGAACACAAUUUACGCCUUUGAACAAGGAAAGUGCAAGUGUGUAUGUGCCUUGUGAUGACGGCGCCAACUGUUCGUCCUGCUCGCGUAACGUUCGUCGACACGACUUCCCGACAGGUGGCCUUGUUUGUCUGCUGGAAAACACAACUGAGAGAGUGAUUGCCACUGGUUGCGCCUUUCAAGCAUUGUGCUGCUUACCUCUGGGUAUACGGACUGGCUAUGCACUCGAGCUGUUCCUCUUCGAGGCCAAGUAUGCGCGUCACGAAUGACACGUGACUUUGAGCUCCCAUGCGAGCUGUUCCUAUAGUCACCUGCACGAGUACUUACAACAAUUCUGUGAAAAGUACCAGACUUAGGAGAAGACGUAAUUGAAGGACUUGGUCUAGCUGCCACGUGUAAACCAGGCUUUGCCUACGGAGAUUCACACGAGAAGCUUCAGAUGAGCCACAUUCAGCUCAACCUCCUGCUUUCCAUUUUUCCAACUCUUGAGCCUUCAUUCACAGUGGAACCGCAGGACCUCGAUGCAUUGAAAAUGGAUAUACUGAAGAAAAUGAAGAUUUGUCUUGCCACUGUAACGGCAUAACAGAUUUAUGUUUGUAAUGAACACCAACUAUAAUGAUGUCAGUGUUGUGCUGCGUUGGAUGCGACUUCAUUAGGCUUGUGCGAGCAUCACUUUUUUUGGUUAGAAACGAAUGGCAAUUAGACGGAACAAUUUUGAAGGAAAUUCCAAUAU
rnacentral:lncRNA from 1 species